rnacentral:rRNA from 1 species
GUGGAUACCUACCCUCAGGCUCGGGAUAGUGGCGGGAAACUGCCAGUAAUACCGAAUAACAUCUCCGGAUCAAAGCUCCGGCACCUGAGGACGGGUCCGCGUCCCAUUAGCUAGUUGGCGGGGUAAUGGCCCACCAAGGCAAAGAUGGGUAGUGGGCGUGAGAGCGCGACCCACCACACUGGGACUGAGAUACUGCCCAGACACCUACGGGUGGCUGCAGUCGAGAAUCUUCGGCAAUGGGCGAAAGCCUGACCGAGCGACGCCGCGUGGAGGAUGAAGGCCUUCGGGUUGUAAACUCCUGUCGGAGGGGAAGAAAUUUUGACUACCCCCUCGGAGGAAGCCCGGGCUAAGUUCGUGCCAGCAGCCGCGGUAACACGAACCGGGCAAACGUUAUUCGGAAUUACUGGGCUUAAAGGGUGCGUAGGCUGCACUAUAAGUCGGGUGUGAAAUCCCUCAGCUCAACUGAGGAACUGCGCCCGAUACUGUAGCGCUU